UGGUGGUUGCUGGUAGUUCCC
rnacentral:siRNA from 1 species